rfam:Metarhizium album ARSEF 1941 scaffold_7, whole genome shotgun sequence.
UCUCAUGAUGACAAAAGGCCAAUUGGCCUGAUCUAAUCCCAGCUCGUCGAAUGCCUCACCAAAUAACGCUAGAGUGCAUUGUGAGAUAAAAACUACUCUGAUAGA